rnacentral:lncRNA from 1 species
AUGUAGCAUGCUACCUACCAUAAUGGUUACUUUAAACAACCGUUGUGAUAUUCUAUAAUGCAUAAUAUUUAACAACGGUUGAUAAACAACCGUUAUGAUUUAUACAACUGAAUUUAUUAUAAAUUAUGUGAGAUGCUUAUUUCGUCAAUCUUUGACAAGAGUUCUUCAACUCCUUAUCCAUAUUUUUCUCUUUAUCAGUUAGAAUUUUGUUGAAGGAUUGUAGAUUUUCAACC